UGCGCUCAGGAGCUUUCACCUCCUCACUCCCAGCCUGGGUUGAAGGUAACCGAGCCACCAUCCGCAGGUGACAGAGCCACUCCUGGAUGCCUGUCCCGAGAGGAUGGGCACGUGGCAGCCUCAUGGCUGACUUUAAGGCGCCCGGAUCAACAUGAACCUGCUGUCUCUGGUCAACGUUUCCGUGCUGGGCCAGCUGGAGCUGAGUGACAAGUGCCUUGGUUGGGGGCCUGGAGGUGCUGGCGGAAUAGACACCUGGCCUGAGACACCUGAAUCUCAGCAGCAACCACUUCAAAGACACCACAGCCCUGAAGCACCGGGAGGAUGAGGAUGAGAUGAAGAGGAUGUCGAAGAUGAUAAGGUGACCCCGGGAAAGAUGCUGAGUAGGCUCAACUAAGGGCCUUGUGGUCUACUAGGAGAGCAAUAUCUUCAUCUGGAGGGCCAUGGGGAAUCAGUCAAGGGUACUAGGUAGGGGAGGGGCAUAAUCAGGUUUAUUUUUUGCAGAAGAGAACCCUGCAUUUCCAAGGGCCUUGAGGCUGAAAGGAAAAACAUGAGGGAUAAGGAGAGAGGGUCCAUGUCCAGGCUGGGGGACCAUGGGGGCUGGUGAGAAAGGGAUGGAACAGAGCAUGAUGGCAGGCAGUGGUAAAAUCAGCCACCCAGGAGCAGCCUCCAACAAACUCACAAGGCUUCCAUGCUUAGGAGGCAUGGUCGGCCGCGUUCUGGUGAAGCGGUGCUGGGACAGCAGGGUGGCACUGUAUUUCAUGACGGGGGGAGCAGGGGGGCGGUAUGAGAGAGCCAUGCUCACCGGGGCUGGCUUGAUCCCUUCUCCCUCCUCAGAGCUGGGCCGGGUGGGGAAACAGAAGUGGGUAGCCAAGGACAAGGGGAGGAUGUGAGGAGCAGGAAGACGAGGCCUGAACCCCACCCAGCCUGACACCAGCUGCCCUACCCCCUUCUUCACCAAAGGAUUCUCCCUCCCUUUUGAGUCUGCACUGGC